rnacentral:tRNA from 1 species
GCCGAAGUGGUGGAAUUGGUAGACACGCUAUCUUGAGGGGGUAGUAGGCUACGCCUGUGCGAGUUCGAGUCUCGCCUUCGGCACCA